rnacentral:rRNA from 1 species
GAUGAACGCUGGCGGCGUGCCUAAUACAUGCAAGUCGAGCGAACAGACGAGGAGCUUGCUCCUCUGACGUUAGCGGCGGACGGGUGAGUAACACGUGGAUAACCUACCUAUAAGACUGGGAUAACUUCGGGAAACCGGAGCUAAUACCGGAUAAUAUAUUGAACCGCAUGGUUCAAUAGUGAAAGACGGCUUUGCUGUCACUUAUAGAUGGAUCCGCGCCGCAUUAGCUAGUUGGUAAGGUAACGGCUUACCAAGGCGACGAUGCGUAGCCGACCUGAGAGGGUGAUCGGCCACACUGGAACUGAGACACGGUCCAGACUCCUACGGGAGGCAGCAGUAGGGAAUCUUCCGCAAUGGGCGGAAGCCUGACGGAGCAACGCCGCGUGAGUGAUGAAGGUCUUCGGAUCGUAAAACUCUGUUAUUAGGGAAGAACAAAUGUGUAAGUAACUAUGCACGUCUUGACGGUACCUAAUCAGAAAGCCACGGCUAACUACGUG